UGGGGAAUUUUGGACAAUGGGCGAAAAGCCUGAUCCAGCAAUGCCGCGUGUGUGAAGAAGGCCUUCGGGUUGUAAAGCACUUUUGUCCGGAAAGAAAUCCUUGGCUCUAAUACAGUCGGGGGAUGACGGUACCGGAAGAAUAAGCACCGGCUAACUACGUGCCAGCAGCCGCGGUAAUACGUAGGGUGCAAGCGUUAAUCGGAAUUACUGGGCGUAAAGCGUGCGCAGGCGGUUUGCUAAGACCGAUGUGAAAUCCCCGGGCUCAACCUGGGAACUGCAUGGUGACUGGCAGGCUAGAGUAUGGCAGAGGGGGGUAGAAUUCCACGUGUAGCAGUGAAAUGCGUAGAGAUGUGGAGGAAUACCGAUGGCGAAGGCAGCCCCCUGGGCCAAUACUGACGCUCAUGCACGAAAGCGUGGGGAGCAAACAGGAUUAGAUACCCUGGUAGUCCACGCCCUAAACGAUGUCAACUAGUUGUUGGGGAUUCAUUUUCCUUAGUAACGUAGCUAACGCGUGAAGUUGACCGCCUGGGGAGUACGUCGCAAGAUUAAAACUCAAAGGAAUUG
rnacentral:rRNA from 1 species